AGGAACUCUGGGAGUUGAAGUCCACAAGUCUUAAAAUUGGCUGAGGAACUCUGGGAGUUGAAGUCCACAAGUCUUAAAAAUUGACUGAGGAACUCUGGGAGUUGAAGUCCACAAGUCUUAAAAGUUGCCAAGUUUGGAGACCCCUGUUUUACAGAGUUUUUUUUGUUUUUCUUUUAAAAAAAGAAUAUUUAGCGGAGAUUUUGGUGGACGAGAAAGAAUGUUCUCCUUCUUUUGCAUCCCUUCCCAAAACCUCUUCACCAUAAGUAGUUAAAAGCGAGGAAACCUUCCUUGCUCUUUGGAAUUCAGACUGGAUGUUCCUGAACUGAUAUUAGAAAACCUAAAAUAAUAAGGAAUUCUGGCAGUUCAAAAUCCCCAUAUCUGGAAAUUGCCAUACAUAUGAAUUUAUAAUACAGUAGUGGCCAAAAUUGUGGAAACCUUUUGAGAAAAGUGUAUUUUUCUAAAACUAGCUAAUAACACCAUUUUUAUUUUUAUUUUUUUUGGAGCAGUACCAUAAAAUUAUAUAUCAAUGGAAAGAUAAUUUAAUCAAGAAUGUAACGCAAUCACUUUUAGGAAGGAUUUUGCUAUUAGAAGAGCAGUUACAGUAUAAAGAAAAGGGAAAAAUGAGAUACACAAAGAUGAUCACCGUAAAAAAAAAAUGAGAUAUACAAAAAUUAUCCCCGUGUCAAUUAAUGCUGCAUGAAUUACGGCCUUACACCAUCUUCCCAUGGAGUGAACCAAGUCUUUUAGUUCUGCAGCUGUUUAUAAUGUGAAACCAAGAUUGAAGGAUUGCUUCUAUUUAUUGCUGGGUCGCUUCUGACUAACAAGUUUCUUGAGUCAGCUCCAUAGAUUUUCAAUUGGGUUAUUGGUCUGGGGCAGGGGUCAGCAACCUGCGGCUCUGGAGCCGCAUGUGGCUCUUUCAUCCCUCUGCUGCAGCUCCCUGUUGCUGGUCGGCUUCACAAUUGAUAGGGCUUUUGGUUUGGUUGGUGGCAUUUAGUCCCAUUCCGCUAAUUAGAGACGGACUGUGGCUUUUCCUUGGAGUAUACUUUUAAAGAAAAUAAAACCCGAGAUACAUUCUAAUAAAACACAUUUUAUUAUAAAGAAGUAAAAAAAAAAAAAGGAUCUUACUAGCUAUUAAUUACAUCUUGGCAGCGUUCCUGCCUUGCCGGCAGAAGUUCUGGCAGACGAACAAAGAGAGAACAGUGAAGGAAUGUGGACAUGCGCAGUAGUUCAGAGAUAAGAGUCAGAUCAGUCUACCGUAAGUCUCAGAAUGGGAGCCCAGCUGACAAAUACAAGAACGCGGUGUCAAGGGCAGCUAGAGGGAAAAGGAUGCUGUGCUAGGAGGAGACUCUAUGGUGGGGGAACUGGUCUUCUGGUCAGCAAAGGAUGCCGCGCUCGGAGGAGACGACGAUGUGGGAACUGGACUUCCAGUUGGCUCCAGAAUUGAAUGGGGGCUUUGUGGCUCUUUGAGUGUUUAAGGUUGCCGACCCCUAGUCUGGGCUCUUCCCAGGCCAUUCCAGCAGUGGAAUAAGAUUAUCUUGAAACUCCAAAAAAAAAAAAAAAAAAAGUGGUGUUAUUAGCCAUCAAACCUCAAAAAUACACGUUUCCCAAAAGGUUUCCACAAUUUUGGCCACUACUGUAAGCAGGGUGGAUGAUAUACAUAUAGUUUGUAAUACGCCAGCAUCACCUUAUAGGAGAGAUCAGCGGCAUGAGAAUGUAAUGAAUGAAAUAUAAUAACAGAAGAAAAGAGAUGGAAGGGACCUUGGAGGUCGGCAGUUCAGCGGUUCGAGUCCCUGGUGCCGCAUAACGGAGUGAGCUCCCGUUACUUGUCCCAGCUUUGGCCAAGCAUACACUUACCAGAGACCUAAGGGAUGUGGUGGCUCAGUGGCUAAGACGCUGAGCUUGUCGAUUGAAAGGUCGGCAGUUCAGCGGUUCAAAUCCCUAGGGCCACGGAACGGGGUGAGCUCCCAUGACUUGUCUCAGCUUCUACCAACCUAGCAGUUCGAAAGCAUGUAAAAAAUGCAAGUAGAAAAAUAGGGACCACCUUUGGUGGGAAGGGAACAGCGUUCUGUGCGCCUUUAGCGUUGAGUCAUCCAGGCCACAUGGCCACGGAGACGUCUUUGGACAGUGCUGGCUCUUCGGCUUUGAAAUGGAGAUGAGUAACGCCCCCUAGAGUCAGGAACAACUAGCACAUAUGUGCGAGGGGAACCUUUACCUUUAUCCUGGUUGACUUCCAUCUCCUUAUCCUUCCCAUCAGGAGCAGAAACAUCCCCCAAAGUUGCAGCUAUUUAAACUUCACCGAAAGAGUUUUGAUGAUGAUAAUGAUGAUGAUUUUUCUCUUCUAUUUGGGCUCGCAGCUCCUUCUCUCUUUUUUAGAAAGAUCCCGGUUUCCAGAAGUUUAGCUAAAAUUCUUCUAGAGUUAACCGCCUUAACGUGGAUUGUUCCAAAUAUCCUGGGAUUGCAGCUUCCCAAAAUUUCUGGAUUCCGUUUUGGAAACCUGUUUUUGCUUUUCUCUUCACUUUCUUCUCUUAGACGGCUGGGGUCAGCUGGCCUCUCUCUCUCUUUACUUUGCACAAGUGAGUCAUGCUGUAAAAAUUGGGUUUGUUUUCACUAAAAAUGGAAAAGCAAGCAGAGUCCUGUUGAGAGUGGAAAAAUGAGGGAGAGAUGGAAGUCAAACACAGGAAUGUUUUAAAAAAAACAUCCCCCCCCCCAAUCUUCCUAUCUCUUCAUUCGCCCCAUUUCUUACUUUGGGACCACAGCUUUCUGCGUUUACAAGGGUACGCUCGUCUAAUUUAAAAACUUGACUGAAGAUAACUCAUCAAAAAAGAAAAGUCUUUAAAAGUGGCAUAAUAGGAAUAUUAAGUAAAACAGCCAGCCAAACACUGCAGUGUCGCACUGAAAUCUGUCAAAAGGGGCGAGACAAAGUCCUCGAAAUAUAAUCUCACCAAAAAUCCACCGUCACCCCUGCCCAAAAAUGAUUUUUUUUUUUAAUUUGAUUUAUAUGCCGCCCUUCUCCGGAGACUCAGGGUGGCUUACAAUGCGUUAAGCAAUAGCCUUCAUCCUUUUGUAUAUUUAUACAAAGUCAGCUUAUUGCCCCCACAAACUGGGUCCUCAUUUUACCUACCUUAGAAAGGAUGGAAGGCUGAGUCAACCUUGAGCCUUGGCGAGAUUCGAACCCUGCAGUAAUUGCAGGCAGCUGGUCUUAAUAACCAGCUUAAUAACAGGGUGCCUUAGACCACUGUACUACCAAGGCUUUGAAACGGUCCUUUGCCCCCACCCCCUUGAUCCGAAAUAAAUAAAUUUAUUGGAACACCGGCAGAGCGCAUUAGGCCAACCAUCACUUUUGAGGUCAACAAUGGACCUCAUAAUUCUCUUUUUACGGGGAUAGAUGUGCGUUCGGGAAGUCCUUGCCUUGUGGGCUCCAUCUCUGGAUGGAGAGAAGGGGGAGGCGAUCCCUUGUCCUUCUCGUUAGCCCACCUUAAGAUGUCUUCUCCCAUGGACCUACGUGCCUGGAAAAGAUCUUUGGGUGCUGAAGGAAUGUGCAGCCCAACUUUGUGUCUUCUCAUGAUCUACAUAGAGUUAGGUCUUCCAUCUACUGAGAGAUGAAACCCGAGAUCAACAUACCAAGGUCAUACCACUGGCAUGAUAACAAAGUAGGAAGCAGGGGCCUCAACCUUACCUGAAGACCAAAAGUAUCUUCAUUGGUGGAUCUUAACCAUCGUGAUUUGUUCCUUCUUGCAAGUGGUGGCUCAGAACUCCAAUAGAUUUUGGAGUUGGUCCGUCCUACCCAUCCCAACCUAGAGUUGAAAUUCCCCUUUUUUCCCCCCCUCUCCUUUUUCCUUUCUCCCUCUCUUGUUAGAAGCAUACUAUCCGUUGCAACUCCUCCUAGGAUUUGUCCAAGGACUGUUAACUUAGGAGGAAAUAAAUUUUUGGAGGCUGCGGAUGGGUAACGAGGAAGUUCCCGCCCAAAGAACUCUUUUCUCCCAUGAUUUUGUUCAUCCUUUUAUUGUUUCCCCCCCCCCCCCAUGCGUUCCAUUCAUUCUCUCGUCAUCUAACCAGCAUCCGUUCAGGAAUGAGUCAUCUCGGUCUUCUGCGUUCCUUCAUCUGCCUUCUCGUCAUUCUCUUUCAAGAACAGCCCCCAACACAAUGGGGAAAAAAAUAGUUAAGUUUCUAUCACUUUACCCAUAAUUCCUCUUUUUUUCUCUCCUCACCCCUCUGUCAAAAAAAAUACAUCCAAAGCCUCCUUUUUUGGUCUUUUUUUCCCCUCAAACACAGGCGCACACUGCUCAGCAUAUCCUCAACUCAUUUUCUUCAUUGUCUUAAUUUUGCUCUCACCCAACUCCAGCUGCAUCCCCGUUCUUCCUCUGAUGCCUCCGUGCAUGACAUGCGGCUUGCAUUCGGUGAAGUUAGUAGACAGUAAAAAUCGGGCAUGUCUGUGCUUGCAAUGACCCAGAGUGACCAGCAGGGGCACCAAAGAGUAAAUUGGCUUGAAUCUCUACAUCGCCCUCUAGUGGCGAUUUAUAUUUCAACGAGUCCAGCUGGGUUCUAAGUAUUUCUCAACCCUGGCAACUUUGAAGAUGGGUGGACUUCAACUCCCAGAAUUCCCGAGCCGGAAGGGCUGAUCCUAACGGAUCACAAAAGUACUGUGUGUCAGGUUUCGAGGUCGUCUCAAAUAAAUUGCAUUUCAAACAAAGUCUUUGAAGAAAAACUCCCAUUUAUUAAGCACGACAUUCUAACUCCGACUCCAUCGUAGCCAACACUGACUUCCAGACCCAAAACCCUCCCUUUCCGUUCCCCACUCCCCUGCACUCACUGGCCAUCUUCCAAGUCACUCUACCCCUAAUCUACUGCUCCAGCUCAAAGGAAUUUCCCCCCUCCCAUCCCAUCUCCUAGGGGAUAUUAUCUCCAGGGAAAAUAAGUAGGUGAAAAGUCAAACGUCCCUUUCCAGACGCCUCCGCUUCUCCUUCUUAUGUCAGCACUAGAGUAAAUGCAGCUUGAAGUGCUGACACUGUGUUUCCCCAAAAAUAAGACCGGGUCUUAUAUUAAUUUUUACUCCAAAAGACGCAUUAGGGCUUCUUUUCUGGUUAGGUCUUAUUUUGGGGGAAAUACGGUACUAAAUGCAUCCGUCUGUCUGACAAUCUUAACUGGGGCUUAUUUUGGGAGUAGGGCUUAUAUUACGAGCAUUCUGAAAAAUCAUGCUAGGAUUUAUUUUCCAGUUAGGUCUUAUUUUCUGGGAAAUAGGGUAGUUAAGUAUAAGGAAUCCCCCUUGUGGGCUGGUACAUCUCAAAUGACACUGUCAGGGGAAUUCUGGGAGUUGAAGUCUACACAUGCUGGCUGGGGAAUUCUGGGAUUUGAAGUCAGAAUAUGAAGAGUGGGAAGGAUCCUCGAAGGUCUUCUAGGCCAAUCCCUGCUCAAGCAGGAAACGCACAGAUACUGGUUGGAGAAUUCUGGGAGUUGAAGUCCACCCAUCUGAAAGUUGCUUUCAGGAUGACGACACUCAAGCUUGAGGAAAACGCCCAUCAGCCUUGAGGGACGUCAAGAUGGAAGAUUUUGGCUUCCUUCUUUUUUCCUUCUUCCACCCACCUAGUCUCUUCAUGGCAGAAAAAGGAAGAUCAUCCAAAAGAAGGACGCUAAAGAGACAUCUAAGACCCCUCUCACGGGCUACACAUGGCUGGGAGUUCAGCUGCCCCAUGUGACUCUUCCAGCCACCACAUUCGUGACGUGGGCUGGGUGCCUUUCAAGCAGAGGGAAGGAUCAGGUCUUUAGGUGCUCCCAUGGGUGAUGGGGACACCUAACAUCCUUCCUGGGUUUUGUGCCUUCCAGAUGUGGCCCAUCUCAACGGUGAGAUGCCAGCUGGAGAGGAGGUUCUGAAUCUGAGACGUUGAAGAACCCCUUCAGGAGAUGAUCAAGUUUGGGAGAUCCUAGACCCGUGAUGGCGAACCUAUGGCACGCGUGCCACAGAUGGCACGUUGAGCCAUAUCUGCGGGCACGUGAGCAUUGCCCUAGCUCAGCUCCAGCUGAUUUUUGGGCCUUGUGGGCCUACCGGAAGUCAGGAAAUGGGCCGUUUCCGGCCUCCGGAGGGCUUCCGGGCAGGGGUGAGGGAGGCCCUUUUCGCUCUCCCCAGGCUCCAAGAAAGUCCCUGGAGCCUGGGGAGGGUGAAAAACAGGCCUACCAGGCCCACCUUUUUGCCAUCACAUGCCAAAAGUGUGUGGGGGGCACAGGGGGGCAUUGAAUUAUGGGUGUGGACACACGCACGCAUGACCCCCCCCAUACCGCCCCCGCUUUUGGCACACGGCGGCAAAAAGGUUAGUCAUCACUGUCCUAGACCUUCUCGCUCUUCACUAGCCGAAGCAUCUGGAAGUUCAUGCCAGUCUAGAGAACCAGGGUUGAUCUUACUAGACCACGGAAAUGGCUCCUUAAAAAAAUAAGAUUCUCAUGGUCCAUCAGGUGUGGGACGUGGCUGGGAAGAUCCUGCUACAGGAAGGUCCCCCCCUUACGUUCUUGCUGAAAGCUAGAGCAAAUUAGGAGUCCUUGCUGGCCUCUGAAGUGGAUAGUUUUCUUGUAGGCCUUUCGUGACCCCACUAGAUAACAUCAUCCGUGCUAGUGAGGGAUGUGGUUUGCUGCUAGUUUAUAUAGAAGUGGCUUCCUCUAUCAGCGUCGAUGGGAGUGUUGUUUCCUUCUUGGUAGAUCCUUGAUUAAGCUGUUGUUUACUGUUUGCCUGAGUUGGUAGUUCCACCUACCAAGUUCCAUUAACUCUAUCAAGGAGCAAAUCUCGCUCCUUUUUAGCCGUGAUGAUGUUACCUAGUUGGGUCACGAAACGUCUGCAAGAAUGCAACCAAGCUUAGACAGCACCAAGGAACCCACAGUCAGCCACCUCCUCCUCCUCUUCCUCCUCCUCGCCACAAACCCCACUCCCUUCUAGCACUGAUGAUGCUACCUAGUUGGGUCAUGAAACGUCUCCAAAGAAGGCAGCCAAGCUCGGAGAGCCCCAAGGACUCCUCGUUUUCAACCCUGAGCUACAAAUAUUUGUCGGAGCAACUUAUUAGUGGAAUCCCGGCUACCCUAUAUACACACACACGCAUCUCUCCAUCCUAAAGCUACACAUUAUAAACAAGAUUGUGGUGUCGGUAGGCUCAUAGAUAGCCACUUUUGUCUCGCUUUCGUUCUCUCUCGUUGGGCUUGCAGUCCGAGGGGCAUCAUACCUGCCUUAACCAGAGGGGGGGUCAAGCUUUGUGCCAAAACCAAGUCUCUUGUGUCCCCGCCCCCACCUCCCCAGGAUUACGCCAAGGCAGUCCGCGCCAACUGUCUCUCCCUCCCUUCCGUUUUCUCUCCGUAAUUGUAAUUCUUCGCUGCCUCAUUCCGAAUGUCUUAAUAUCUUGUAUUUAUUUUUGUUGACCAAGUAAAUGCUUUUCUUUUUAUUUUUUAA